GAUGAACGCUGGCGGCGUGCCUAAUACAUGCAAGUCGAGCGAACAGAUGAGGAGCUUGCUCCUCUGACGUUAGCGGCGGACGGGUGAGUAACACGUGGAUAACCUACCUAUAAGACUGGGAUAACUUCGGGAAACCGGAGCUAAUACGGGAUAAUAUAUUGAACCGCAUGGUUCAAUAGUGAAAGACGGUUUUGCUGUCACUUAUAGAUGGAUCCGCGCCGCAUUAGCUAGUUGGUAAGGUAACGGCUUACCAAGGCAACGAUGCGUAGCCGACCUGAGAGGGUGAUCGGCCACACUGGAACUGAGACACGGUCCAGACUCCUACGGGAGGCAGCAGUAGGGAAUCUUCCGCAAUGGGCGAAAGCCUGACGGAGCAACGCCGCGUGAGUGAUGAAGGUCUUCGGAUCGUAAAACUCUGUUAUUAGGGAAGAACAAAUGUGUAAGUAACUAUGCACGUCUUGACGGUACCUAAUCAGAAAGCCACGGCUAACAACGUG
rnacentral:rRNA from 1 species